AUGGAAGCUCUUGGGAAGGCGGAAGUUGCACGUGCUCUCACAGUCAACUGUGCUGGAAUAGGAGGCCAGGAACCACCUCUGUUGGAGGAGGAGGACCCAUCGGGCAUCCCUUCAAGAAUGCCAAGGUCCACAGCAAACGCUUCCCUUCUAUGGGCACAGGAGGGCUGUGGGAGCCCAGAAAAUGUGCUUCUGGCCAGAGACAUGAAACAACCAUUUCAACCAGCUUGGACAAAAAAGAGAAGCCAAGAUGGGGCUGAGAAACCAAUGCAGCCGGGCCCAGGGAUCCAGGACUCAGGGACCAGGUGCUGCCGGAUGUUUGCUCUGACUCGUGUUGCUGCUGUCUUCUCUGUGCCUCAACUCUGUCCUCUGUCACUGCAGGCAGCUUCCUCCCAAGGUGUGAGCCUGCCAGUUCUGUCUGUACAUCCAGCAAGAGAUUGUGUAAUCCCAACACUUCUGGGAGCCUACCAAUACUGGAAGAGCCUGCCUCCAACUUUAACCUGGUCUGGCAGGUCCCCUAAACAAAGAACCACUUCAUUGUCUGUAGAACCAGUUUGGACCGCAUUCUGCUGGAUUUAAAUCUAUAAUCCACCCACCUACCCGGCACAGAUCUUGAUGGGAUAACCACAUUGGUUUGUUUAGUAAACACUGAGACCAACUCCACCAUCCAGAGGCCUGACAGACAAAUGGCCUGAGACAGGGCUGGGAAAGCUUUGUGUCUGGUUGGGAUUUCAGGAAGAGGUUUUUUUUGUUUUGUUUUUUUUCCCCAAGGGAACAAGCCCUUGAAUCCGGGAGGCAGAGGUUGAGGUGAACCGAGAUGGCGCCAUUGAUCUCCAGCCUGGGCAACAAGAGCGAAACUCUGUCUCAAUAAAUAAAUAAAUAAAUAAAUAAAUAAAUAAAUAAAUAAACAAGAAAGAAAUGUAUGUCGAUGUCAGACUUUCUGAGCUGGGUGGAAGGACUCUGAGCUUACCAAAGGAAGUGUAUUUAUAAACCUCUAGGUACUGACUUGUUGCUGAAGGUGUGAUACCAGAAAUUUGCAAUGAUAUUU
rnacentral:lncRNA from 10 species